GAUGAACGCUGGCGGCGCGCCUAAUACAUGCAAGUCGAGCGAACAGACGAGGAGCUUGCUCCUCUGACGUUAGCGGCGGACGGGUGAGUAACACGUGGAUAACCUACCUAUAAGACUGGGAUAACUUCGGGAAACCGGAGCUAAUACCGGAUAACAUGUUGAACCGCAUGGUUCAACAGUGAAAGACGGUCUUGCUGUCACUUAUAGAUGGAUCCGCGCCGCAUUAGCUAGUUGGUAAGGUAACGGCUUACCAAGGCAACGAUGCGUAGCCGACCUGAGAGGGUGAUCGGCCACACUGGAACUGAGACACGGUCCAGACUCCUACGGGAGGCAGCAGUAGGGAAUCUUCCGCAAUGGGCGAAAGCCUGACGGAGCAACGCCGCGUGAGUGAUGAAGGCCUUCGGAUCGUAAAACUCUGUUAUUAGGGAAGAACAAAUGUGUAAGUAACUAUGCACGUCUUGACGGUACCUAAUCAGAAAGCCACGGCUAACUACGUG
rnacentral:rRNA from 1 species